CACAUGCAAGUCGAGGGGAAACGACAUCGAAAGCUUGCUUCUGAUGGGCGUCGACCGGCGCACGGGUGAGUAACGCGUAUCCAACCUGCCCACCACUUGGGGAUAACCUUGCGAAAGUAAGACUAAUACCCAAUGAUAUCUCUAGAAGACAUCUGAAGGAGAUUAAAGAUUUAUCGGUGAUGGAUGGGGAUGCGUCUGAUUAGCUUGUUGGCGGGGUAACGGCCCACCAAGGCUACGAUCAGUAGGGGUUCUGAGAGGAAGGUCCCCCACAUUGGAACUGAGACACGGUCCAAACUCCUACGGGAGGCAGCAGUGAGGAAUAUUGGUCAAUGGACGAGAGUCUGAACCAGCCAAGUAGCGUGCAGGAUGACGGCCCUAUGGGUUGUAAACUGCUUUUAUAAGGGAAUAAAGUGAGUCUCGUGAGACUUUUUGCAUGUACCUUAUGAAUAAGGACCGGCUAAUUCCGUGCCAGCAGCCGCGGUAAUACGGAAGGUCCGGGCGUUAUCCGGAUUUAUUGGGUUUAAAGGGA
rnacentral:rRNA from 1 species